rnacentral:rRNA from 1 species
AUUGAACGCUGGCGGCAUGCUUUACACAUGCAAGUCGAACGGCAGCACGGGCUUCGGCCUGGUGUCGAGUGGCGGACGGGUGAGUAAUAUAUCGGAACGUACCCAGAAGUGGGGGAUAACGUAGCGAAAGGUACGCUAAUACCGCAUACGAUCUGUGGAUGAAAGCAGGGGACCGCAAGGCCUUACGCUCCUAGAUGAGCCGAUAUCUGAUUAGCUAGUUGGUGAGGUAAAGGCUCACCAAGGCGACGAUCAGUAGCUGGUCUGAGAGGACGAUCAGCCACACUGGAACUGAGACACGGUCCAGACUCCUACGGGAGGCAGCAGUGGGGAAUUUUGGACAAUGGGCGAAAGCCUGAUCCAGCAAUGCCGCGUGAGUGAAGAAGGUCUUCGGAUUGUAAAGCUCUUUUGUCAGGGAAGAAACGGUAGAAGCUAAUAUCUUUUGCUAAUGACGGUACCUGAAGAAUAAGCACCGGCUAACUACGUG